UGAAAGAUCACGAUUUUUAACUCCCGGGA
rnacentral:sRNA from 1 species